rnacentral:rRNA from 1 species
GGCUCAGGAUGAACGCUGGCGGCGUGCCUAACACAUGCAAGUCGAACGCUCGCAAGAGAGCGGCGCACGGGUGAGUAACACGUAGCUAAUCUGCCCUCAAGACAGGGAUAACAGUAGGAAACUACUGCUAAUACCUGAUAAGCUCCCAAUCUGUAGAGGAUCGAGAGAAAAGUUAAGGCGCUUGAGGAUGAGGCUGCGAGCCAUCAGCUAGUUGGUGAGGUAAGAGCUUACCAAGGCGACGACGGCUAGGGGACCUGAGAGGGUGACCCCCCACACUGGGACUGAGACACGGCCCAGACUCCUACGGGAGGCAGCAGUGAGGAAUAUUGCUCAAUGGGCGCAAGCCUGAAGCAGCGACGCCGCGUGGAUGAAGAAGGUUUUCGGACUGUAAAAUCCUUUUCUGUGUGACGAGAGUGGACAGUAGCACAGGAAUAAGUCUCGGCUAACUACGUGCCAGCAGCCGCGGUAAAACGUAGGAGGCAAGCGUUAUCCGGAGUUACUGGGCGUAAAGCGCGUGUAGGUGGAUUGGUAAGUUACUUAUAAAAGCUCCUGGCUAAACUAGGAGAGGUUGGGUGAUACUGCCAGUCUAGAAUAGAGGAGAGGUUGACGGAAUUCCGCGUGUAGUGGUGAAAUGCGUAGAGAUGCGGAAGAACACCAGUGGCGAAGGCGGUCAACUGGCCUCAUAUUGACACUCAGACGCGAAGGCAUGGGUAGCGAACGGGAUUAGAAACCCCGGUAGUCCAUGCAAUAAACGAUGUACACUGAAUGUUCGUUGUCCUACGGGGCAAUGAGUGUUGAAGCAAACGCGUUAAGUGUACCGCCUGGGGAGUA